rnacentral:lncRNA from 1 species
GUGGCAGCCCUCUGUGCCGUUGGCCACUAAUCUCUUGUUUUUCUGUUAGGCUCCAUCCAGAGAGAACGGAUUGCAGAGGGCAAACUCGAGAGGUUCUGGACUCCUGGGACCUGAAUCUUAAUGUUUCUCCACCAUAGGCAGGUCGGGGAAAUACCCUUGUCUCCCGGGUUCCCUAUUUAGUUCCCUAAUAAGUCACUGGUGAUCAUUGUGUGUCCCUAAUAGCCCAAUUCAAGAGCUGGAGCUUCCAUCCUCUUCCCCUCAGUGGAGGAGGAGAAGAUGGAAAAGUCCUAGACAUACAAAAAGGGCGCCCGAGAGGUGAGUGAGUCUGACCACCCGUUCAUUCUGUAUGGUGCAAACUGAGCUCGAAAGCCUUGCUUGGUUGGCAGGUGUAUGAGUGAGGCCUGUGGAGCCAAAUAAAAGGCUCCUGCCCUAGAGAUCAGAGCUCGGGUAGAUCUUGGUGAGAAAGAGACCCCUCCCUUCUGGAACUCUGCAAGGCAGUAACCUGGGUAUCCUCCUGCUUUCUCACAGGUCUCUGCAAGUGCUCUCUUCCCUAUAUGGGGACAUCCACUGGCAGCCUGCCCAUUACUCCUGCGGUGGCUCCCUCUGCUGGACUGUUUCAGCAUUGCAUCCUGACCCAAGUUUGGUCUGAGCAUCUUCAGCUCGAGUAUGAAGCAGCAAUUGCUGUGAGGAUAGACCCUGCAGCAAGGCUCUGAGAACCCAACCCCCAUCCCGCAGCUGCUGGUCCCAAUAAUUUUGGGGAUUGACUGUCCACCCAGCUCCUUCCCCUCCUCUGCCCGGAUGGAUUGGGGGCAAGAGGCACCUUGAAGGACAGAAAUCCAAGCGGUGGCUGGUGCCCUGCAUGCUGUUAAAUAACCAGGCCCGCCUGCCUCCCCUAGGAUACAUGAUGGACAAUUGAAGCCAGAGAAGAGCAGGAGGCUCGGACCGCCCACCCUGCUGUGAGUCACGGCUGAGGGGUAUUGCUGUGCUGGGAGGAGGGGUGGAGGGAAAUCGGGGCAGGGUUCUAGGGGCAGGGGGCAGCAGCCACAUCGCACGGUGGCUGGGAGCCAGAACCCAGUUGGAGUGACCUGCAGAGCGUAGGAGCAGGGAGAAAACCCUUGG